rnacentral:rRNA from 1 species
UACGUAGGGUGCGAGCGUUGUCCGGAAUUAUUGGGCGUAAAGAGCUUGUAGGCGGUUUGUCGCGUCUGCUGUGAAAAUCCGGGGCUCAACCCCGGACUUGCAGUGGGUACGGGCAGGCUAGAGUGUGGUAGGGGAGACUGGAAUUCCUGGUGUAGCGGUGAAAUGCGCAGAUAUCAGGAGGAACACCGAUGGCGAAGGCAGGUCUCUGGGCCACUACUGACGCUGAGAAGCGAAAGCAUGGGGAGCGAACAGG